AUCCGGGUAACAGCAGUUGGCGCUGUACUCUUGCUUUAACUUUUUUUUUAUUGGUGGAAGCUGUGCAUUUGUUUAGCUAAUAAAUUAUAAAAACUGUGUACAACAGUUGUGUACAAUUGUUUAAUUAUGUCAUCCUGGUUAGGGUUGGCCUGAUUGACGAUGCCAUCGUCCAUCGCCGAUAGCUGAUAGACAUCACGAUGCUGCGCUGGCAAACAGCGUCAUCAGCUCCAGUAUCUCGCCCGUGCAUCUGUUGUCAUGCGACAGAGAAGUCACGUUCUAUAGAGAGUUUCUACAGACAGUUGUGAACGUGCUGACAGCUGGUUGCCCAGGCUAUGGAUUAAAGGUAAUACUGUUGGCCAGCAGAGCCCUGCUCACCCUGACGGCCCACCGCUGCUGUCAGACAACAUCUCAAAGAUGCUAUAAACUGCAGGACUAGUAAGUACAAACUUGAACAUGCACAACUGUUUCAUAAGUUUGGGAAGGUAUGGUUUUUUUUGUGUUUUUGAAAGUCUUUUAUGGCAACCACAGUUUAAUAUAUGAAAUGAAAACAGUUCACUACAAUUUAAAAUAAGUUUUCUAUUUGAAUAUAUUUAGAGAAGUCAUUUAUUCCUGUGAUGGUAAAGCUGGAUUUUCAGCCAUCAUUACUCCAGUCUUCAGUGUCACGUGAUCUUCAGAAAUCAUUCUUAUAUUCUGAUUUGCUUCUGAAGAAACAUUUCUGACUAUUAUCAGUGUUGAAAACCGCUGUGUUCCUUCAUUUUUUCAGGAUUCUUUGAUGAAUAAAGUUUUAAAACAGUACAGUGUUUGAAACAGAAAUGUCUGUUUUAACUUUUGAUAAUUGAUAAGACAGUGAUAAUAAUUGAAAAUGUUUAUUGAGCAGCAAAUCAGAAAGAUUUCUGAAGGAUCAUGUGACACUGUAGACUGGAGUAAUAAAAAUGAGCUUAGAUCACAGAAAUAAAUUACAUUUCACAAUAUAUUCACGUAGAAACUGUUGUGUUAAAUUGUAAUAUUUCACAAUAUUACAGUUGUUUUACUUGCUUUUGAUCAAAUAAAGGCAGCCUUGGUGAGCAGAAAUUUUUCUCCAAGAUGUAAAAAAAAAAAAUUGUACUGACCCCAAACUUUUUAACGGUAGUAUAAAUUAUAAAUUACAAAUAUAAUGUUCCACCUACUGAAAUGUAUAUUCCAUUCUAAAGAGAUGCCUGUUCCACAAAUAAUACAUUUACAGGGAUCACGUGAAACACUUCAUCAAUAAACUGAUUUUUGAGAGCAUUAGUGGCAGUGUGUCGAUUUUUGUUUAUUGAUUGGUGAAUUGGAAGUGGAUGUGCGUUUAUUAAACCUACUUGUGAUUAAAUCAGAUAUAUAUAUAUAGCAAAAUAAGCUCAAAUUGAGGCAGCAGCAUCUAUGGUGCAUGGCCUGUAGUGAGGUCACUAAAUUCUAAUACCAAGAAUUUAUCAAAGUCCACUAAAGGAAGCAAAACCUUUUGGUAUUUUACUUUGAAAAUAGCCUUCCAAAUAAUAUUUGGGGCUCGGACACACUUUUUUUUGUUGUUGUUUAAAUUAAAUUAAAAUACAUAGUUUAGUAUUCACACAACACAUCUAAUAACCAUGCACUCCAGUUAUAUGUGAUUAAAUAAAU
rnacentral:lncRNA from 1 species